CGUAGGUGGCAAGCGUUAUCCGGAAUUAUUGGGCGUAAAGCGCGCGUAGGCGGUUUUAAGUCUGAUGUGAAAGCCCACGGCUCAACCGUGGAGGGUCAUUGGAAACUGGAAACUUGAGUGCAGAAGAGGAAAGUGGAAUUCCAUGUGUAGCGGUGAAAUGCGCAGAGAUAUGGAGGAACACCAGUGGCGAAGGCGACUUUCUGGUCUGUAACUGACGCUGAUGUGCGAAAGCGUGGGAUCAAACAGGAUU
rnacentral:rRNA from 1 species